AAACUGAAGAGUUUGAUCAUGGCUCAGAUUGAACGUUGGCGGCACGCUUAAUACAUGCAAGUCGAACGAGAAAGCACCUUCGGGUGCGAGUAAAGUGGCGGACGGGUGAGUAACGCGUAGGAAUCUACCCAGUAGUAGGG
rnacentral:rRNA from 1 species